rnacentral:lncRNA from 1 species
AAAUAUAUAGAAUACGGAUACAUUGAAAUAUAAUGGGGGAAAAAUAGUGAAUACAAUGAAAUGCGUGAAAAUACAGCACGAUACAUUGAAGUACAAUGAAAAAAAAUUAUGAAUACAUGAAAAUACAGAUCUUCGUCCCUCAUAUUGGUUGGUCAUCGCAAAAACCAUAAACCCAACAAAUCUUCGUCCCUCAUAUUGUCUUCCUCUAGCUCAAAAUUCACUAACUCCAAAUUUUAAUUUUGAUAUUAUUGAUCAUGUACAAUAAUCUCAUCUGGGAGAAUCUCCAAGUGGAAAAUGGAUUUCUUGGUAACUUAUCUUUACAAGGAGAGGAAGGAUUAAAAGGUGGUGCUACAGGAUUAAGAUUACCAAUUUCUCUAACAUUCUAUGUAUAUCCUUGCCCAGAAUUUCCUUCUACCAAAGCCAGUUGAUUGUUCUCGUUGGCUUCACUAUUUUCUACCUCCAGUAUUGCAAAUUGGUUGGUUGUUUGAACCUGUUGAGGAGCCACAGAAAUCUACUUCUCAAUAGGAAGUUUUUCUUGCUAGUUUUGAUUCAU